rnacentral:rRNA from 1 species
UAGGGAAUCUUCCACAAUGGACGCAAGUCUGAUGGAGCAACGCCGCGUGAGUGAAGAAGGCUUUCGGGUCGUAAAACUCUGUUGUUGGAGAAGAAUGGUCGGCAGAGUAACUGUUGUCGGCGUGACGGUAUCCAACCAGAAAGCCACGGCUAACUACGUGCCAGCAGCCGCGGUAAUACGUAGGUGGCAAGCGUUAUCCGGAUUUAUUGGGCGUAAAGCGAGCGCAGGCGGUUUUUUAAGUCUGAUGUGAAAGCCCUCGGCUUAACCGAGGAAGCGCAUCGGAAACUGGGAAACUUGAGUGCAGAAGAGGACAGUGGAACUCCAUGUGUAGCGGUGAAAUGCGUAGAUAUAUGGAAGAACACCAGUGGCGAAGGCGGCUGUCUGGUCUGUAACUGACGCUGAGGCUCGAAAGCAUGGGUAGCGAACAGGAUUAGAUACCCUGGUAGUCCAUGCCGUAAACGAUGAAUGCUAGGUGUUGGAGGGUUUCCGCCCUUGCAGUGCCGCAGCUAACGCAUUAAGCAUUCCGCCUGGGGAGUACGACCGCAAGGUUG